GACCUGUUGGUGUACUCGGCAGCGCACCCACACACAAUAACUGAGAACUGAUCACCGACAGUUAUGUGGGAGGCCCCAGUUCGAAUCUGGGAUGGGUCA